GACGAACGCUAGCGGCGUGCCUAAUACAUGCAAGUAGAACGCAGUGGGGACGGGUGAGUAACACGUGGGUAACCUCCCAUCAGAGGGGAUAACACUUGGAAACAGGUGCUAAACCGAUACUGAUGGAUGGACCCGCGGUGCAUUAGCUAGUUGGUGAGGUAACGGCACACCAAGGCCACGAUGCAUAGCCGGCCUGAUAGGGGGUUCGGCCACACUGUGACUGAGACACGGCCCAGACUCCUAGGGGAGGAAGCAUUAGGGAAUCUUCGGCAAUGGACGAAAGUCUGACCGAGCAACGCCGCGUGAGUGAAGAAGGUUUUCGGAUCGUAAAACUCUGUUGUUAGAGAAGCGGUAUCUAACCAGAAAGCCACGGCUAACUACGUGCCAGCCGCCGCGGUAAUAC
rnacentral:rRNA from 1 species